GGUCCCAUCGUCUAACGUGUGAGGACGCCGGCCUUCAAGUCGGAAACAUGGGUUCAACUCCCAUUGGGACCACCA
rnacentral:tRNA from 1 species